rnacentral:tRNA from 1 species
AUUUAUAUAGUUUAAUAAAACCUUACAUUUUCAUUGUAAAAUUAGAUUUUUAUCUUAUAAAUA